GAGUUUGUAACUCAAUUGGUUAGAGUAGAGGACUCAUAAUCCUUUAGUUAUAGGUUCAAUUCCUAUCAAACUCA
rnacentral:tRNA from 2 species